GUACACUUCCUUUUCUUUCGGGUAAUCAUCCACUUGUUCUUAUUUUCUCCCCAUAUCUCCAAAGAUACAUCACACUAUCAUUCCAUAUCUCUUAACCCUCUCCUAGCCUGCUACCACUCUCAUUUCUCUCUCUCUUUCGCUUUCUGUCUUUUUUAUUCUCUUCAACUAGAAACAGACUACUCAUUUCUCUUCUCCAUUUAUCUUUUUUUAUUCCUUUUCCUUGUAUUUAUGCACUCUUGAAAAUAAAUAAACACUAAAAUUUACUAUUCUACUUUUCAAAUUGUUCAGUUAAAUCGUAUUGCUACAAUUAUCUAUCUCACAUUGUUCAAGCUUUCAAACAAAGAAAUGACCAGCAACAACAUAUCAAUCCAUGGUAUAAUGCAGUGGUUAAAAAGCUCUGCACGACGCUCCAUUCAGCCUACCAAGACCUGAUGCCAAUCCCAGCAAAAAUAUACUGGUUGCUAUCGGCUACAGCCAUUCUCCCAAAGAUGACUUUCGAAUUGUUGCCAAUUGCCAUGGACACACUGUUCAUCGAACGCAAACAAUCAGGCAGGAAGAACCUCCUCUCAUCUCUAUUGCAUCUCUAAUUAGCAGAACACCUGGUGGUCUGUUCCCCUGUGAUACAUUACCCCAUUUCAAACCUGCAUUACCGUGGCAGUUUCAUUUCCAUUUGUUUGUGCCCCAUUAUGGUUCAAAUAAGUGGGCACAAACAAAUGGAAACAUCCCCUAAAAAUCUGGAUGCAAGUCGACGAUAAGAAACUAACAAAUUAUUGACACAUUUAUUAUAGACAAACAAGCGUUAAAAAGUAGAAUAUUACAACCUUCACAUCUAAUAACAUAAAUGCGUAUAGACAGACAACAGCAUCCCAUAGUUUAAUGGUGUUACAAGCACCCUCAAACAGACAACUCCGAUCAUGGGCUUCAAACUAGCAUAUCCCAUCACACUUUCAUAAAAACUAGCAGCAAUUAAGUCAUGUAUCAAGCAGAACCUAACUAAGUAAUCCAAAAGGAUGCAGCCGCACAAAAUCGAACCAUACAGUUAUCCCCGCAACUUUAUAAUAAAAGCAUACUCUUGAAUAAUGCUCUCAAUUCCAGUCAUAAAUGCUUGUAGACAUCUUAAGUAAGUAUUCAACUAAAGAAUUCAUUCAACACAGUUAUACAUACUUGAAUAGAUAUAUAAAUGCCCAUAUGCCAUUUCCCUUAGCUCUUUCACACCCACUACCUCUAUAACAAACUUAUCCAUAUAAGACCAAAAUAUGCCCACAAACAAAUCUAAGCAAUUCACAUCCGAAAAUUACACUUGGACCAACAGAAGGGUGUUUGAUCUCAUCCAUCACCUGAAACUCCGCUUAUUUGCAGACCUUCGUCUACUCUGAGUUGAGUAACGAGGUUCUGAUUGGGAACCAUUCUCUCCAAAUCCUCUAGCAUCCAUUUUUCCAUCCUUCCCAAUUGUCUGCCUUCUCCCAUAAGGCUCAGACAUGGGAGAUUUUAACCUCUUUGUUUUGUCCAUGUCAUAUGCUAGUGGUUCAAUCCCCUGCAAAUCAGGCUCUGGAACAAAGCCAAUAGGCCGUUUUUCAUCAUCCAUUUUUCUAAAUGUGAUAGAUAUCCUCUUUGAUGGAACUGAAGGCACACAGUGCUUAGACACAUCAGCUGCAUUUCCAUUUAACACAAGAACAGAUCCUACAGGUAGAGGGAUUGCAAUUGAUCCAGUAAACUCGCCAGCACGCACAACCUUCAAGUUAGUUCCAAAUACUAUAUUGCACUCGCUAACAAAUGACACCGUGCAGAAAGGCCGAACAAAAUCAUGAUUGUCAAUAUGUGGAGGUAUACAGUCCCCUUUAUCAUAAAUAUUAACAAUGCAACUAUCAGGUACACAAGUCGGGGGGAGAACAUGCCACUUGAUCAGCCUUCUAAUGAUCACUUUAAAGAGCUUAGGUAUAGGAUCUACAAUUUCAUUCUGGAGGAUGCCAGGUGGAUUACCAUUUUUGUCUGUUGCAUAAUUGUAACAACAACCAAAUUGGAUGGUUACGCGCCCUUUGCCCCUCAUCCACUUCUGUGGGGCUGUAUAUGUUCUCUCUUUCAGUUUUCCUUUGCUCCCCAACUCUUGGAGUUCAUGCACAUAAUUAACUAUUCUUGUCUGCUCUACAGCACUGAAAACAAGAGAGUGUAGUUCAAGUCCCUCAAGAAUAUUAACAAUCUUUCCUUUGACCCUCUCCAAACAAAUAAAAUCCUUCUUCCUCUUCACACUCAUAAACCUGAUGUACUCUCUUUGAUCUCUCGACAACUUAGGCUUUUCAACAUCCCUUGAUAUCUUCAUCUCCCCAGUCAAAGCACUUGUAUUAACCAUCCGCUUGUUCAAAUCCGUCUGUUCCUCCUCAAAUUCAUCUUCCUGUGCCAUGUCAGCCCAAGACAUCCGGUGGCUCGGGGCUUCAACCAAAGGUGCAGCACCAAGGAUUCCACUAGUAGAAGCUUCUGAAACAGAUUCUGACCACCCAUUCGCUUCAUCUUUCCAACUACCCAAGGAAUUCAUAUCAUCUCCAUCUCCAUCUUUCCAACUUCCCGAUGAAUUAUUGUCACAGUUAUCAUCCAAACAAUUCUCAUGGGAUUCACUAUUGCUUAGGGGCACAGGCGUUAUUGUUGUAUCUGAAUGUGAAGGUUCUGCUUCGGCAUCAACUUCAGGUUCGAGAGAGCGGAUGCGAUCGGAGAGGAUUUGGGUGCAGUGUUGGCAGAGAUCUCUGGAGAGAAAAGGGAGCCACGUGGUGAGGAACUCCGACGCAAUUCGGAGAUCGGACGGCUGAUACUGCAGAAGGAAAGGAUCGUCCCUUCUGACUCGAUGGAGAUCGGUCAUGGCUGAGUCACUAUUCGGAAAGCGAAUAAGAGAUUUAUUGCAGAGCUUAUUUAGAAAAACAGAAAGUAAAGCUUCCUUCAAACUUCAAAUUCUGAUUCGUGUUGAGUUGAAGAACAAAUUGUGACUAUAAAGGUAAC
rnacentral:misc_RNA from 1 species